CCAAUAGCGUAUAUUAAAGUUGUUGCAGUUAAAAAGCUCGUAGUUGAAUUUCGGGAUUAGCAAGUUGGUCGUGCCUUCGGUAUGCACUGGCUUUGCUGAUUCCUCCUUCUUGAAGAACUGUAAUGCUAUUAAUUUAGUGUUGCAGGGAAACAGGACUGUUACUUUGAAAAAAUUAGAGUGUUUAAAGCAGGCUAACGCUUGAAUACAUUAGCAUGGAAUAAUGAAAUAGGACGUUUGAUCCUAUUUUGUUGGUUUCUAGGAUUGACGUAAUGAUUAAUAGGGAUAGUUGGGGGCAUUAGUAUUCAAUUGUCAGAGGUGAAAUUCUUGGAUUUAUUGAAGACUGACUACUGCGAAAGCAUUUGCCAAGGAUGUUUUCAUUAAUCAAGAACGAAAGUUAGGGGAUCGAAGACGAUCUGAUACCGUCGUAGUCUUAACCAUAAACUAUGCCGACUAGGGAUCGGAUGAUGUUAAUUUUUUAAUGACUCAUUCGGCGCCUUACG
rnacentral:rRNA from 1 species